UAACGCGUGAGGAACCUGCCUUUCNNAGGGGGACAACAGUUGGAAACGACUGCUAAUACCGCAUGACGCAUUUUGAUCGCACGGUCGAAAUGCCAAAGAUUUAUCGCUGAAAGAUGGCCUCGCGUCUGAUUAGAUAGUUGGCGGGGUAACGGCCCACCAAGUCGACGAUCAGUAGCCGGACUGAGAGGUUGACCGGCCACAUUGGGACUGAGAUACGGCCCAGACUCCUACGGGAGGCAGCAGUGGGGAAUAUUGGGCAAUGGGCGCAAGCCUGACCCAGCAACGCCGCGUGAAGGAAGAAGGCUUUCGGGUUGUAAACUUCUUUUAAGUGGGAAGAGUAGAAGACGGUACCACUUGAAUAAGCCACGGCUAACUACGUGCCAGCAGCCGCGGUAAUACGUAGGUGGCAAGCGUUGUCCGGAUUUACUGGGUGUAAAGGGCGUGCAGCCGGGCAUGCAAGUCAGAUGUGAAAUCUCAGGGCUUAACCCUGAAACUGCAUUUGAAACUGUAUGUCUUGAGUGCCGGAGAGGUAAUCGGAAUUCCUUGUGUAGCGGUGAAAUGCGUAGAUAUAAGGAAGAACACCAGUGGCGAAGGCGGAUUACUGGACGGUAACUGACGGUGAGGCGCGAAAGCGUGGGGAGCGAACAGGAUUAGAUACCCUGGUAGUCCACGCUGUAAACGAUGGAUACUAGGUGU
rnacentral:rRNA from 1 species